rnacentral:rRNA from 1 species
GAUGAACGCUGGCGGCGUGCCUAAUACAUGCAAGUCGAACGAGGUGCCUUUGUAGCAAUACGGAGGUAUCCUAGUGGCGAACGGGUGAGUAACGCGUUGGUGACCUACCCCGAAGUCUGGGAUAACAGUUCGAAAGGACUGCUAAUACCGGAUGUGGUCAUCGGAUUUAGAAACCGAUGUCUAAAGGAUUUAUUCGCUUCGGGAGGGGCCUGCGUCCCAUCAGCUAGUUGGUAGGGUAAUGGCCUACCAAGGCGACGACGGGUAGGGGACCUGAGAGGGUGACCCCCCACAAUGGAACUGAAACACGGUCCAUACACCUACGGGUGGCAGCAGUAGGGAAUAUUGCACAAUGGGCGAAAGCCUGAUGCAGCAACGCCGCGUGUGCGAAGAAGGCCUUCGGGUCGUA